rnacentral:rRNA from 1 species
AUGCGUCGUCGGGGGAGCCAGCGCUGCUCGGACGCCGAGGACCGGUCAUGGCACUCGCGCCAGAACUCCGCCGCCCUCGAGGACCGCGCCUCGACGUCCGCGUCCGCCCGCUCCGGCGCCGGCGCAGGGGACGGGGACAAGGAAGGCGAGGCCGCGGCCGGGCGCGACAGGAAGUCGUGCGUGUCGGAGUGCUCGCUGGACGACGUCGACCUGGAGGCCGGGCCGGCGGCCGAGAUCACCAAGGCCAGCCCCGACAAGGACGAGAUGAACUGCCGCAUCUGCCACCUCGGCCUCGAGAGCGCCGCCGCCGAGUCCGGCGGCGGCAUCGUGCUCGGCUGCUCCUGCAAGGACGACCUCUCCUGCGCCCACAAGCAGUGCGCCGAGACCUGGUUCAAGAUCAGGGGCAACAAGAUCUGCGAAAUCUGCGGCUCGACAGCGUGCAACGUGGUUGGUUUCGGUGACGCGGAGUUCAUGGAGCAGUGGAACGAGUCAGGCAACUCCGCAGCUACCCAAGCACCGGCGAACGAGAUGCGGAGGUUCUGGCAAGGCCACCGGUUCCUCAACUUCCUCCUGGCCUGCAUGGUGUUUGCCUUCGUCAUAUCCUGGCUCUUCCACUUCAACGUCCCCGGAUGA